rnacentral:rRNA from 1 species
GAUGAACGCUGGCGGCGUGCUUAACACAUGCAAGUCGAACGGUGAAGGCGGAGCUUGCUCUGCUGGAUCAGUGGCGAACGGGUGAGUAACACGUGAGCAAUCUGCCCCUGACUCUGGGAUAAGCGCUGGAAACGGCGUCUAAUACUGGAUACGAGCUGCGAAGGCAUCUUCAGCAGCUGGAAAGAACUUCGGUCAGGGAUGAGCUCGCGGCCUAUCAGCUUGUUGGUGAGGUAACGGCUCACCAAGGCGUCGACGGGUAGCCGGCCUGAGAGGGUGACCGGCCACACUGGGACUGAGACACGGCCCAGACUCCUACGGGAGGCAGCGGUGGGGAAUAUUGCACAAUGGGCGAAAGCCUGAUGCAGCAACGCCGCGUGAGGGACGACGGCCUUCGGGUUGUAAACCUCUUUUAGCAGGGAAGAAGCGAAAGUGACGGUACCUGCAGAAAAAGCGCCGGCUAACUACGU